GACCCAGCUAAGCCUGGCAAGCAGCACUGAGUUUAAUUUCACAUGCCAUGUAUAGUGGAGGCUCUGUGUGCCACCCAAGGGCGAUGCACUCCUGAAUGUGCUGCUCACUGACAGGAAGGAACUGGUUGGUGCUUUUUUCUUAAGGGCUUUUGGGAGCUGGAUUCCUUACAAUGACAAUAACAGCUGUGUUGAAGGUGCUGGACCUUGACUGUUGACCUGGUACAAGGAUGAUAGGUCUGAGGAAGAGCUACACUGGUUGAUUAUUGCAGGAAUGAAAGGCCCUCUGACCUUGCCGACCGAACGCCUUGCUGCUUUCAAUGUUGCCCAUUAUGCUGAAGGCAGGCAACUCCUGGAGAGAGGAUGAAAUCUACAGGAGCACUGCUCGCCGGGCAGGCUGCCAGCAAGGGUUUUAGCAUACUAGGGAAGCCAGCUGGGGGAGGAAGAGGGGGGAGACUAUAUCAAAACAUUGUUAGCACAGGGUAUAAAGAGCUCUCAGAUGCUGAUCACAGGUUUCUUCUUCAUUAGUAAGACUUUACACCAUCCACCUGAAAUGAAAAGGAACAGAGACGUAAAGGAGAAAGAAGAGUACAGUGAUAAUGUUUUUGCAGUGGAAUCUGGCAGUCAUUAAAUUUAAAUAAAUAAAUAAAUUUAAAAGCCAACAAACCAAACAAAAAAACCUGAGCCCAAACCCACAAUUUUCACAAGAGUAGACAGAUUCUUGCUGCAUAAGGAUUCAUUGAAAAUACUCCUCCAAGGAAAAUGGGUCAAAUAUUCAGUUGCUAUAACUAUGCUAAAUUGGAAAACAUUCACCAUAAAAUCUUCCAUAGAAUAUUUGUGGAGCUGUAAAAGGUUUGAAAACGUACCAAAUACUAUGUUUGACAUUCUCUGUCUUUUCAUGUGUGCAUAUUUUUAUAUUUACAUAUAUUUCAGAAAACCAAAACCUCAGAAUUCACACAAGUAAUAAGAUAUUGUUUGAAAUUAUUUCCUAUUAUUCUGACUGUAAGCUUCAUUGCCCUAAGCCAGCCACAAUGACUGGCUGAAAGAGGUUUGUAAUUUGACUCAAAGAUAAUACAGAGACUCAGGUGGAGCUCAUGAAGGGCACUUACAGUUUGAAGACAGCCCAUUUUAAAUGAAGCUGACCAAAACGAUGUUCAAAUAACAUGGGCAUUUCAUUUAGAAGCUGAGUUUAUCUCAGCAGGGCCAUCAGUAUUUCAGUGUCAUCAUGACUUGAAGACGUGUAUGUCUCAUGUGUCUCUAGUGAUUCAUUAAAAAUGAAUUGGUG